rnacentral:rRNA from 1 species
CAGCCGCCGCGGUAAUACGAAGGGUGCAAGCGUUACUCGGAAUUACUGGGCGUAAAGCGUGCGUAGGUGGUGGUUUAAGUCCGUUGUGAAAGCCCUGGGCUCAACCUGGGAAUUGCAAUGGAUACUGGGUCACUAGAGUGUGGUAGAGGAUAGUGGAAUUUCCGGUGUAGCAGUGAAAUGCGUAGAGAUCGGAAGGAACAUCUGUGGCGAAGGCGACUAUCUGGGCCAACACUGACACUGAGGCACGAAAGCGUGGGGAGCAAACAGGAUUAGAUACCCGCGUAGUCCCUGUCUCUUAUAC